rnacentral:rRNA from 1 species
UCUGGUUGAUCCUGCCGGAGGCUACCGCUAUUGGAGUUCGAUUAAGCCAUGCGAGUCGCGAGAAAUUAGAUUCUCGGCGUACCGCUCAGUAACACGUGGGUAACCUGCCCUAUGCUGGAUAAUAACCUCGGGAAACUGAGAAUAAUGAUCCAUAGUUCACUACGCCUGGAACGGUGAGUGGAUGAAAGCUCCGGCGGCAUAGGAUGGGCCUGCGGCGUAUCAGGUUGUAGGGGGUGUAACGUACCCUCUAGCCCUCUACGCGUACGGGUGUUGGGAGACAUAGCCCGGAGAUGGAUUCUGAGACACGAAUCCAGACCCUACGGGGUGCAGCAGGCGCGAAAACUUGGCAAUGCGAGAAAUCGUGACCAGGGAACUCCAAGUGCAUCGGGUAAGACCGGUGCUUUUCUUGACUCUAAAUAGGUCUUGGAAUAAGGGGUGGGUAAGGACGGUGCCAGCCGCCGCGGUAAUACCGGCGCCUCAAGUGGUAGUCGCUUUUAUUGGGCCUAAAACGUCCGUAGCCGGUCUGAUACAUUCGUGGGUAAAUCAACCAGCUUAACUGGUUGAAUUCUGCGAGGACGGUCAGACUUGGGACCGGGAGAGGUGUGGGGUACGCUCAGGGUAGGGGUAAAAUCCUGUCAUCCUGAGCGGACCACCUGUUGCGAAGGCGCCACACUAGAACGGAUCCGACGGUCAGGGACGAAGCCUAGGGGCACGAACCGGAUUAGAUACCCGGGUAGUCCUAGGUGUAAACGCUGUGGACUUGAU